GCAGAUCCUAGCUUCUUCCAAGUAAGGGGUGUCACUCUUAGACCGGAGUCUUCUGAUGGGUCUCCGGUCUAUGUCAUCCUCAGAAGAUGCUGUCAUCAGAGUGGGCACGGUGAGAAGUGUUGCCCGACGAGCUGAUAAGAAAGAACAAAGGAAGAGGAGAAUAGCAGGAGAAAGGAGAAAUGGAAGGAGGGAAGACAAGGGAGAAAAAAAAGAAGGAAAAAAAAAAGAAAAUCACUCAGUGGAAAGGAGGAUCUUUAGCAGGUGCUUUAGAAGUGGAUGGAGGCAGCUCAGAACCCCAGCCUGAACCUGGAAGGAUGCUGCAGGUGUGCAAACAUACAACAAAGAAAGGAGCUCUGCCUAAAGCUUUCCAAACUGACUGCAAGAUGAAAUACCACAGGUGGAUGAAAGGAAGGCAGGGAAGAACAAAAGGAAACCGUGAGUCACAUUGCGCUAUUAUCUGAGAAAUGCUGCUGCUCACAGAGGUGAAUUCUAGCCCUUGAGAGGCUGCUUGUGGAACAGACUGAGGAAUUGUCAUCUUGGAGGUGAGUGUGGAAUUGCUGAGAGAAGCUCCUGUAUUCAGAA
rnacentral:lncRNA from 1 species